UGAUCAGUGGCGCAGCGGUAGCGUGGUGGGCCCAUAACCCACAGGUCUCAGGUUCGAAUCCUGACUGAUCAU